rnacentral:rRNA from 1 species
GACGAACGCUGGCGGCGCGCUUAACACAUGCAAGUCGAACGGAAAGGCCUGCUUUCCCUUGUGGAUUGCGGGUACUCGAGUGGCGAACGGGUGAGUAACACGUGAGUGAUCUGCCCCCAACUUGGGUAUAAGCCUGGGAAACUGGGUCUAAUUCCCGAUAGGACUGCAGGGUGGUGCCUGUGGUGGAAAACGAUUUUCUAGUGGUUGGGGAUGAGCUCGCGGCCUAUCAGCUUGUUGGUGGGGUAAUGGCCUACCAAGGCGGCGACGGGUAGCCGGCCUGGGAGGGUGGGCGGCCACAUUGGGACUGAGAUACGGCCCAGACUCCUACGGGAGGCAGCAGUGGGGAAUAUGGCACAAUGGGCGGAAGCCUGAUGCAGCGACGCCGCGUGGGGGAUGACGGCCUUCGGGUUGUAAACUCCUUUCGACCGCGAGGAAGCCACCUGGUUGGAAGGGUGGUGACGGUAGUGGUAGAAGAAGCACCGGCUAACUACGUG